rnacentral:rRNA from 1 species
CGCCCGCCGCGCCCCGCGCCCGUCCCGCCGCCCCCGCCCGCCUACGGGAGGCAGCAGUAGGGAAUCUUCCGCAAUGGACGCAAGUCUGACGGAGCAACGCCGCGUGAGUGACGAAGGUUUUCGGAUCGUAAAACUCUGUUGUGAGGGAAGAACAAGUACCAACUAACUACUGGUACCGUGACGGUACCUCACCAGAAAGCCACGGCUAACUACGUGCCAGCAGCCGCGGUAAUACGUAGGUGGCAAGCGUUGUCCGGAAUUAUUGGGCGUAAAGCGCGCGCAGGCGGUCCUUUAAGUCUGAUGUGAAAGCCCACGGCUCAACCGUGGAGGGUCAUUGGAAACUGGAGGACUUGAGUGCAGAAGAGGAAAGUGGAAUUCCACGUGUAGCGGUGAAAUGCGUAGAGAUGUGGAGGAACACCAGUGGCGAAGGCGACUUUCUGGUCUGUAACUGACGCUGAGGCGCGAAAGCGUGGGGAGCAAACAGGAUUAGAUACCCUGGUAGUCCACGC